rnacentral:rRNA from 1 species
AUUGAACGCUGGCGGCAGGCUUAACACAUGCAAGUCGAGCGGUAACAGGCCUUCGGGUGCUGACGAGCGGCGGACGGGUGAGUAACGCGUAGAAAACUGCCCGGUAGUGGGGGAUAGCCCAGAGAAAUUUGGAAUAAUACCGCAUACGCUCUACGGAGGAAAGCGGGCUUCGGCUCGCGCUAUCGGAUGUGUCUGCGUGAGAUUAGCUAGUUGGUGAGGUAAUGGCUCACCAAGGCGACGAUCUCUAGCUGGUCUGAGAGGAUGAUCAGCCACACUGGGACUGAGACACGGCCCAGACUCCUACGGGAGGCAGCAGUGGGGAAUAUUGCACAAUGGGGGAAACCCUGAUGCAGCCAUGCCGCGUGUGUGAAGAAGGCCUCGGUUGUAAAGUCACUUCUAGUGGGAGGAAAGGUUAAGUAGGUUAAUACCGUACUAGCCUCGACGUUACCACACGAAGAAGACACCGGAC